rnacentral:rRNA from 1 species
GACGAACGCUGGCGGCGUGCCUAAUACAUGCAAGUAGAACGCACAGUUUAUACCGUAGCUUGCUACACCAUAGACUGUGAGUUGCGAACGGGUGAGUAGCGCGUAGGUAACCUGCCUGGCAGCGGGGGAUAACUAUUGGAAACGAUAGCUAAUACCGCAUAAUAUUAAUUAUUGCAUGAUAAUUAAUUGAAAGGUGCAAUUGCACCACUACCAGAUGGACCUGCGUUGUAUUAGCUAGUAGGUGAGGUAACGGCUCACCUAGGCGACGAUACAUAGCCGACCUGAGAGGGUGAUCGGCCACACUGGGACUGAGACACGGCCCAGACUCCUACGGGAGGCAGCAGUAGGGAAUCUUCGGCAAUGGACGAAAGUCUGACCGAGCAACGCCGCGUGAGUGGAGAAGGUUUUCGGAUCGUAAAGCUCUGUUGUAAGAGAAGAACGGGUGUGAGAGUGGAAAGUUCACACUGUGACGGUAUCUUACCAGAAAGGGACGGCUAACUACGUG